GUCUUCAUUUAGGAAUUGUAAAUUCAUGAGAAAAGAACAAAUUUUUUAUGGUAUAAAUAUCUUCCAGGAACAACAGUUUACAAGUAUUCGAUUGUUUAAAUAAACAAAACUAUUUUCCUUCCUAAAAUGUAAACAUCCAGUAAAUGAAACAUACAUGAUAUUCCAGGUAUAGAAAUCUUAGUAACUCACUUAUGAAAGAGGUGCAUUUUGGUAUGUUUGGUGGUAAGGUUUUUGUUUAUCUUAUGUAUAAAAGUAC
rnacentral:lncRNA from 1 species